AACGAACGCUGGCGGCGUGUCUUAAGCAUGCAAGUCGAGCGGCAAGGGGGAGCAAUCCCCCCUAGAGCGGCGGACUGGUGAGUAACACGUGGGUGACCUGCCUUUGUCAUGGGGAUAGCCAUUAGAAAUAGUGGGUAAUACCGAAUACGCUUGUGCCUGUAAGGGGCAUAAGGAAAGGCGCUACGGCGCCGGACGAAGAUGGGCCCGCGUCCCAUUAGCUAGUUGGUGAGGUAACGGCCCACCAAGGCGAUGAUGGGUAGCCGGCCUGAGAGGGUGUACGGCCACACUGGGACUGAGAUACGGCCCAGACUCCUACGGGAGGCAGCAGCUAAGAAUAUUCCGCGAUGGACGAAAGUCUGACGGAGCGACGCCGCGUGGAUGACGAAGGCCGAAAGGUUGUAAAAUCCUUUUGCUGGGGAAGAAUAAGUCUGGGAGGGAAUGCCCGGAUGAUGACAUGAACCGGCGAAUAAGCCCCGGCUAACUACGUGCCAGCAGCCGCAGUAAUAC
rnacentral:rRNA from 1 species